rnacentral:tRNA from 2 species
AGUUAAAUAGCACAAGAAAGCCUAAUGUCUUGAAAACAUUAAGAAAGAAGUUAAAUCCUUCUGUUAACUU